rnacentral:rRNA from 1 species
GACGAACGCUGGCGGCGUGCUUAACACAUGCAAGUCGAACGGUGAAGGGGCCUGCUUUUGUGGGCCCUGGAUGAGUGGCGAACGGGUGAGUAACACGUGAGUAACCUGCCCCCUUCUUCUGGAUAACCGCAUGAAAGUGUGGCUAAUACGGGAUAUUCUGGGUCUGUCGCAUGAUGGGUCUGGGAAAGAUUGCGCCUUUGGGUGUUUUUGGUGGGGGAUGGGCUCGCGGCCUAUCAGCUUGUUGGUGGGGUGAUGGCCUACCAAGGCGGUGGCGGGUAGCCGGCAGGGGGGGGUGGCCGGUCACACUGGGACUGAGACACGGCCCACACCGCUACGGGAGGCAACAGUGGGGAAUAUUGCACACGGGAGGCAAGCCGGAUGCAGCGACGCCGCGUGAGGGAUGGUGGCCUUCGUGAUGUAAACCUCUUUCGCCAGUGAAGCAGGCCUGCUCCUUGUGGGUGGGUUGACGGUAGCUGGAUAAGAAGCGCCGGCUAACUACGUG